UAAGUCUGGACUACAUUAAUCGAAAAAGUUGCUUUCCCGCACUUGAAGACAGUGUAAUCAGUCCGUGUAAUGCGCCAUGAAGUGUUGUUGACAUGUCAGAGGGAACCAUGCAAAGUGUGGCAAGGCAGUGUGGAAAAGAUUUGGCUGGAGUCUGCUGCUUUCUAGGAGGGGGGAAAAAAAUGAAGCUUAGGGAUGGUACUCGAGGGAAGAAAGGGAGGGUGAGUGUCAUGUUGACCGGCGAGUGUCUCCCCCACCAGCUUCCUCUGGGAGCUAAAUCUUGGAAAUAUCCACCCAGCUAUUCUGACAUUUUUAUCCCUUUAAAAUUGGGCCAAAUGUACAGGAAGAAUCGUGUUACAUGGGAGAUUCCGUGGAUUAUGCUUACAGGUGUAUACAUCAAAAACAAG